UACAGAGGUCUCAAGCGUUGUUCGGAUUCAUUGGGCGUAAAGGGUGCGUAGGUGGUGAUGCAAGUCUGGUGUGAAAUCUCGGAGCUCAACUCCGAAAUUGCACCGGAUACUGCGUGACUCGAGGACUGGAGAGGAGACUGGAAUUCAUGGUGUAGCAGUGAAAUGCGUAGAGAUCAUGAGGAAGACCAGUGGCGAAGGCGGGUCUCUGGACAGUUCCUGACACUGAGGCACGAAGGCCAGGGGAGCAAACGGG
rnacentral:rRNA from 1 species